rnacentral:RNase_P_RNA from 1 species
GAAGCCCGCCAGACCGUCGCUGGUGCAAUCGCCGAAAGGCCGCACUGGAGGAACGUCCGGACUGCACAGGGCAGCGUAGGAGGUAAUACCUCUCCACCGCGAGGUGAGGAUCAGAGCAACAGAGACGAGUCCCCGGGCCGCAAGGCACGGGGGGUGAAACGGGCAAUCUCUACGCGCAGCAAUACCAAAUAGGCCAGCGUUGAUGUGGCUCCGCGGAGCUGGCGGGUAGGUAGCACCGAGCCGGUGGGCGAUCACCGGCCCAGAGGAAUGGCGGUCACGUCCGGGCCUUCGCAAGAGGGUCCGGUCGCCACAGAAUCCGGCUUAUCGGCGGACUUCACAC